rnacentral:antisense_RNA from 1 species
ACAUAAUCAAACCUGGCACUGCUGCGGCCAAUGCCCAUCCACCCCAACUUAAAUGGAUGCCCAUAAUAUCGGUCAUCAUUGCCAGUGCCAGUGCAUUUGGUGCCAUGGCUGUUAAGAACAUAUAGCUGGUGGUUUUGGUCACCAUAUACACGUUCACUAGCAAAUAGUGACCGGCUUUACGCGGGCUUUUUUCUGGAUCUGAACCGAGUGCCACCGCCACA